GGGAGUGUCGCCUAAGGGAUGGGGCACCGAUCUUCUAAAUCGGUCUGUGUAGGUUCGAAUCCUACCACUCCUGCCA
rnacentral:tRNA from 2 species